UACAGAGGUCUCAACCGUUGUUCGGAUUUAUUGGGCGUAAAGGGUGCGUAGGCGGCGGGGUAAGUCAGGUGUGAAAUCUCGGAGCUUAACUCCGAAACUGCAUUCGAUACUGCCGUGCUUGAGGACUGGAGAGGAGACUGGAAUUUACGGUGUAGCGGUGAAAUGCGUAGAUAUCGUAAGGAAGACCAGUGGCGAAGGCGGGUCUCUGGACAGUUCCUGACGCUGAGGCACGAAGGCCAGGGGAGCAAACGGG
rnacentral:rRNA from 1 species